rnacentral:snoRNA from 1 species
AUCUUCUCAUUGAGUUCCUUUCUGUCAACCGGUGACAGAUUAUGGAUUCGCACAAGAGAAGAGAGUUCACAGAGCUAGCACUUAUCUUCUAUUUUUGCAGAGGUAUAUCUGGCUGUUGUGUGAGACAUUC